GUCUACGGCCAUACCACCCUGAACAUGCCCAAUCUUGUCUGAUCUCAGAAGCUAAGCACGGUCGGGCCUGGUUAGUACACAGAAAAAUACAUUGCAACCUCUCCAGUAACCCAGGAGUAAUAUAAU
rnacentral:rRNA from 1 species